UACGAAGGGGGCUAGCGUUGCUCGGAAUCACUGGGCGUAAAGGGCGCGUAGGCGGCUCGGUAAGGUUGCGGUGAAAGCCCGGGGCUCAACCCCGGGUCGGCCGUGGCAACUGCUGAGCUAGAGCACUGUAGAGGCAGGUGGAAUUCCGGGUGUAGCGGUGGAAUGCGUAGAGAUCCGGAAGAACACCGGUGGUGAAGGCGGCCUGCUGGGCAGUGGCUGACGCUGAUGCGCGACAGCGUGGGGAGCAAACAGG
rnacentral:rRNA from 1 species